rnacentral:rRNA from 1 species
CAGGACGAACGCUGGCGGCGUGCCUAAUACAUGCAAGUCGUACGCUUCUUUUUCCACCGGAGCUUGCUCCACCGGAAAAAGAAGAGUGGCGAACGGGUGAGUAACACGUGGGUAACCUGCCCAUCAGAAGGGGAUAACACUUGGAAACAGGUGCUAAUACCGUAUAACAAUCGAAACCGCAUGGUUUUGAUUUGAAAGGCGCUUUCGGGUGUCGCUGAUGGAUGGACCCGCGGUGCAUUAGCUAGUUGGUGAGGUAACGGCUCACCAAGGCCACGAUGCAUAGCCGACCUGAGAGGGUGAUCGGCCACAUUGGGACUGAGACACGGCCCAAACUCCUACGGGAGGCAGCAGUAGGGAAUCUUCGGCAAUGGACGAAAGUCUGACCGAGCAACGCCGCGUGAGUGAAGAAGGUUUUUCGGAUCGUAAAACUCUGUUGUUUAGAGAAGAACAAGGAUGAGAGUUAACUGUUCAUCCCUUUGACGGUAUCUAACCAGAAAG